AUUGAACGCUGGCGGCAGGCUUAACACAUGCAAGUCGAGCGAGCGGCGGACGGGUGAGUAAUGUCUGGGAAACUGCCUUAUGGAGGGGGAUAACUACUGGAAACGGUAGCUACUACCGCAUACCAUCAGAUGUGCCCUGAUGGGAUUAGCUAGUCGGUGGGGUAAUGGUUCACCUAGGCGACGCUCCCUAGCUGGUCUGAGAGGAUGACCAGCCACACUGGAAGUGGGACACGGGCCAGACUCCUACGGGAGGCAGCAGGGGGGAAUAUUGCACAAUGGGCGCAAGCCUGAUGCAGCCAGGCCGCGUGUGUGAAGAAGGCCGUCGGGUUGUAAAGCACUUUCAGCGAGGAGGCGUUAAUCGAAGAAGAAGCACCGGCUAACUCCGUGCCAGCAGCCGCGGUAAUAC
rnacentral:rRNA from 1 species